rnacentral:rRNA from 1 species
GCCAGACUCCUACGGGAGGCAGCAGUAGGGAAUUUUCGUCAAUGGGCGCAAGCCUGAACGAGCAAUGCCGCGUGAACGAGGAAGGUCUUCGGAUCGUAAAGUUCUGUUGACGGGGAAAAAAGACCGGGAAAGGAAAUGAUCCCGGAGGAGAUAUUACCCGUCGAGGAAGUCACGGCUAACUACGUGCCAGCAGCCGCGGUAAUACGUAGGUGGCGAGCGUUAUCCGGAAUGAUUGGGCGUAAAGGGUGCGUAGGCGGUCGAUUAAGUCUGGAGUGAAAGGUACCGGCUCAACCGGUAUAGGCUCCGGAAACUGAUGGACUGGAGUACAGGAGAGGGUGGCGGAACUCCAUGUGUAGCGGUAAAAUGCGUAGAUAUAUGGAAGAACACCGGUGGCGAAGGCGGCCGCCCGGACUGUAACUGACGCUGAGGCACGAAAGCGUGGGGAGCAAAUAGGAUUAGAUACCCGAGUA